GUAUCCGUGGAGCAGCAGUAUAGCUCGUUCCUCUCCCAUCUUAAUGAAGGGGAAGGGAAAGACCCGGGUGCGAAUCCCGGUGGGCACA